rnacentral:rRNA from 1 species
UACGGAGGGUGCAAGCGUUAUCCGGAUUUACUGGGUUUAAAGGGUGCGUAGGCGGGCUUUUAAGUCAGUGGUGAAAUCUCCGGGCUCAACCUGGAAACUGCCAUUGAUACUAUUAGUCUUGAAUUUUGUUGAGGUAGGCGGAAUAAGUCAUGUAGCGGUGAAAUGCAUAGAUAUGACUUAGAACACCAAUUGCGAAGGCAGCUUGCUAAACAAAUAUUGACGCUGAGGCACGAAAGCGUGGGGAUCAAACAGG